GAUGGUCUUAUCCCAACAAGCUGUAUAAUUCCAGACAGAGGAGGCAGGCAGAGACACCGCUCUUUGUAGAGGAGUUAGAAAUGACCGUUUUGAGACGAAUUCAGACUUGAGGAUGACCAGUGUAGCUGACCCUUAGAAGGAAGCGUCCUUGGGGCGUGGCCAGUGGAGCGUUCCAGGCUCUGCACCCAGCGCCCAGGUGGACAU
rnacentral:lncRNA from 1 species